GCGCCGCUCCCCAGGCUGCGGCCAGUUUGGCGCUUGCCCCGCGCGUGACCCCGUGUUUUCCUGACCCGCGUCCCUAAAGCGCCUGGUCUGGAGCAUUCUUGAACCGGAGCUAGAGGAGUACAGAGUGGACUCUUAGGACUCUGGGGUAGAAUCAGUUGGCUACAGCUGUUAGGAAGGAGCUGAAAGGGGUGGAGUAGUUGUAGAAAGGUGAGAGGGAUGUAAAUACUUCAGAAUGAAAGGACUGAAAUUCUGGUAAGUCUACACAAUUAUUCUGGAUUGACCGGAGGAAAAUUAGCUUCCAGACCAGUCUCCACCCAAGUAUGGAUUUCUCUUGUUCCUUCACUCUUGAAGUGAACAUACCCUUCUCUGUAAACACUUAGUAUUUAUUUACUUGCAUAACAGUGAUACCCUGUUGGUACAUCUGCUUUAGACUGCUAACAGUAAAAAAAAGUUAAAUAGUGCGUUUGUUAUGUCUUUUAAAACGUGGCAUAAUUCAAACAUGUAUUGUAUCCCUGUGAUGUGUAUCACUGUGCUCAGUGAUACAGGGGGAUACAAAAUUUAACAAGAUAUAAUCCCAGACAUCAAAGGUUUUACAAUUUAGUAAAAUACAUAAAACUAUAUUAUAUGUAGCAGAACUUGUAUAUGUCCUACAUGAGUGACAAUGAGCUAUGGCUAUGAGAACAUAAUAAGCCAUCCCUGCCACAUAGUAGACCUUCCAUAUUUGUUGAAUGAAUGAAUAAGUAUUAGGCCUGUGUGGACUGUUUCAAGAAAGAAAGGCCAUUUAAUAAAUACCUCUUUAUGACAAACACAAAACGAUGCCAGCCCCGGCUAUACUCUAACCAAAGACAUCUGAAAUUUUAAUUCAGAUUCCUAACAUUGUAGAACCUGGUCUGCAUAUUCAAAAUAAUGCUUAUUGUCUAAUUGUGCCCGUUAUGCCUAUGUAAAAACAAAUAGUCCAGUCAACGUUUUUUUCCCCUCACUUCUUCCUCAGUUUCUAAAGGGGAGGCAUAGGGCAUAGACAUUUUAGAAUUGUCUAGCUCAGAAUAGGAAACCGACACCUGAAACAGGGAAAUUUCCUAGACAGCUAUAUCUCUUAGGGAUACACCUGCGUUUAGAAUUGAAAAUUCAGGGCUGGGCCCAAGGCCAUCCAUACAUACUAAGGCCAAACCAGUCAGAGUGCCUUGCAUGGGGGCAUAUCCAAGACGUACAAUACAGAGUGACAAGUAAAGCCAUUUGGCCUGGGCUUCAAGCAUAUAGGGACCACAAAUUUUAGCUACCGUUUAGUGGCAAAUUUAAGGAGGAGAGCAGGAUGAGAUUUGGUCACCUAAAUUGACUCUAACUGAACUCUAACUGAACUGAACUGGAGGGGUAUGGGGUGGAUGCUUGGGACCCUGGGGUAGAAUCAGUUGGCUACAGCAGUUGAAAAGGAGCUGAAAGGGGUGUUGUUCUGGAAAGGUGAGAGGGAUGAAAAUACUUUAGAACGAAAUGACUGAAAUUCUAGUAACUCUACACAAGCAUUCUGGAAUGAUUGUGACAACAAUCACUGACCACACCUACCCUUUGCUAGUUAAAUCUGACGUGGGAGCACAGAUCUGUAGAAGAGGAGCCUCAGAAUCUGAAAGUUGCCUUGUUUCACCACAGUUGUCCAGAACCAGGUUUAUUCAUAAUAGCUCCAAACUAGAAACACUUCAAAUGUUCACCAACAGAAAAUUUGUUGCUUAUAUUGUUCUUACAAUGGAGUACAAUUUUAAAACAUGAAUGAUCGUUAAA